AUAUAAAUAUAAACAGUAAAUCCAAAUAUCUUGUAAAUAUUAAGUAGAACGCCGUGUUGUGUAGCAAGUAGAAUGUGUAGAGCUCAGUUUGAAUAGUGUCUGUGCUGUCUUAGUGUUGCAAAAGGGUAUUAAAUCCUACAUGAUCUGUUCGAUGGUAAAUGCACCAAUGAAAUCAACUGUGAACAAUUUUUGAAUCCUCGCUACUGGAACAGAUAUGUCAUAGUGUACAACAUCGUGUUGUCUGUCUGAGGUCAAUGGAAGUGGGAGAGCGUACAAAAGGUACAACAAAUAGAUGUGUAAAGUUUCAACUUGAUUUGAGAAUGGGUGUGGGAGAAACAACGUGUAGAAACAUUGUACCAGACAGACAGACAGAGUGAACAUAAGCUUUGUUAAAACAGUAGAGCAGCUUCAAUAAAUAUUUUAUUGACCUUGAGGUUUACACUAAAACUGAACAGAAUGAGUUAAUGUUACUAUAUUUAGAUGUAGAUAUAAUUUGUUUCAGUUUUAACAUAAGUUUCUAUUUAAAAAAUGUAAUCCAUACACUCCCUUAAUUUCCUAGUAAAAGAUGUACAUCAAACCAAAUAGAAAUAUACUAGUAAAAAUUGUGAAGCCUGGAAGCAGUGUUAAACUUGAAUUAAAUGUACAAAUUAAGUCCGGUCAUAAUUUUUUUUUCUUUUUU